rnacentral:rRNA from 2 species
UACGAAGGUCCCAAGCGUUAUCCGGAUUUAUUGGGUUUAAAGGGUGCGUAGGCGGACUAUUAAGUCAGUGGUGAAAUCUCCAUGCCUAACAUGGAAACUGCCAUUGAUACUGAUGGUCUUGAGUACACUUGAAGUGGGCGGAAUGUGUCAUGUAGUGGUGAAAUACUUAGAUAUGACACAGAACACCGAUUGCGAAGGCAGCUCACUAAAUUGUAACUGACGCUGAGGCACGAAAGCGCGGGGAGCAAACAGG